AUUGAACGCUGGCGGCAUGCCUUACACAUGCAAGUCGAACGGCAGCGCGGACUUCGGUCUGGCGGCGAGUGGCGAACGGGUGAGUAAUACAUCGGAACGUACCCUGUUGUGGGGGAUAACUAGACGAAAGAUUAGCUAAUACCGCAUACGACCUGAGGGUGAAAGUGGGGGACCGCAAGGCCUCACGCAGCAGGAGCGGCCGAUGUCUGAUUGGCUAGUUGGUGGGGUAAAGGCCCACCAAGGCGACGAUCAGUAGCUGGUCUGAGAGGACGAUCAGCCACACUGGGACUGAGACACGGCCCAGACUCCUACGGGAGGCAGCAGUGGGGAAUUUUGGACAAUGGGGGCAACCCUGAUCCAGCAAUGCCGCGUGUGUGAAGAAGGCCUUCGGGUUGUAAGGCACUUUUGUCCGGAAAGAAAUCGCGCUGGUUAAUACCUGGCGUGGAUGACGGUACCGGAAGAAUAAGCACCGGCUAACUACGUGCCAGCCGCCGCCGUAA
rnacentral:rRNA from 1 species